rnacentral:misc_RNA from 1 species
GAUGAAGAACGUAGCGAAAUGCGAUAAGUAAUGUGAAUUGCAGAAUUCAGUGAAUCAUCGAAACUUUGAACGCACAUUGCGCCCGCCAGUAUUCUGGCGGGCAUGCCUGUUCGAGCGUCAUUUCAACCAUCAAGCCCCCGGCUUGUGUUGGGGACCUGCGGCUGCCGCAGGCCCUGAAAAGCAGUGGCGGGCUCGCUGUCACACCGAGCGUAGUAGCAUACAUCUCGCUCUGGGCGUGCUGCGGGUUCCGGCCGUUAAACCACCUUCAUAACCCAAGGUUGACCUCGGAUCAGGUAGGAAGACCCGCUGAACUUAAGCAUAUCAAUAAGCGGAGGA